rnacentral:rRNA from 1 species
AUUGAACGCUGGCGGCAGGCCUAACACAUGCAAGUCGAGCGGAGCGGCAGACGGGUGAGUAAUGCCUAGGACUCUGCCUGGUACUGGGGGAUAACGUCCGGAACCGGGCGCUAAUACUGCAUACUAUCAGAUGAGACUAGGGCGGAUUAGCUAGUUGUAGGGGUAAAGGCCUACCAAGGCGACGACCCGUAACUGGUCUGAGAGGAUGAUCAGUCACACUGGAACUGAGACACGGUCCAGACUCCGACGGGAGGCAGCAGUGGGGAAUAUUGUACAAUGGGCGAAAGCCUGAUCCAUCCAUGCCGCGUGUGUGAAGAAGGUCUUCGGAUUGUAAAGCACUUUAAGUUGGGAGGCGUUACCAGCAGAAUAAGCACCGGCUAACUUCGUGCCAGCAGCCGCGGUAAUUC